rnacentral:rRNA from 1 species
UACGUAGGCAGCAAGCGUUGUUCGGAGUUACUGGCGUAAAGGGUGCGUAGGCGGCGCGGUAAGUCGGGUGUGAAAUCUCGGAGCUUAACUCCGAAACUGCAUUCGAUACUGCCGUGCUUGAGGACUGGAGAGGAGACUGGAAUUUACGGUGUAGCGGUGAAAUGCGUAGAUAUCGUAAGGAAGACCAGUGGCGAAGGCGGGUCUCUGGACAGUUCCUGACGCUGAGGCACGAAGGUCAGGGGAGCAAACGGG